GACGAACGCUGGCGGCGUGCCUAAUACAUGCAAGUGGGACGCAAGGGAACACACUGUGCUUGCACACCGUGUUUUCUUGAGUCGCGAACGGGUGAGUAACGCGUAGGUAACCUGCCUAUUAGCGGGGGAUAACUAUUGGAAACGAUAGCUAAUACCGCAUAAUAUUAAUUAUUGCAUGAUAAUUGAUUGAAAGAUGCAAGCGCAUCACUAGUAGAUGGACCUGCGUUGUAUUAGCUAGUUGGUAAGGUAAGAGCUUACCAAGGCGACGAUACAUAGCCGACCUGAGAGGGUGAUCGGCCACACUGGGACUGAGACACGGCCCAGACUCCUACGGGAGGCAGCAGUAGGGAAUCUUCGGCAAUGGACGAAAGUCUGACCGAGCAACGCCGCGUGAGUGAAGGAGGUUUUCGGAUCGUAAAGCUCUGUUGUAAGUCAAGAACGUGUGUGAGAGUGGA
rnacentral:rRNA from 1 species